UCGUACUUGUAAUAAGGAGGAGGUGGCAGGACUUGUACUUCUAGUAAGGAGGUGGUGGAGACUCGUAUGUGGUGGCAGAGACUCAUACUUAGGCAGUGGAUACUUACAUGGGAGACUCAUACUUGAAAUAAGGAGGCAGUGGAGAUUUAGUAAUAUGGAGGAGGUGGUGGCGAUUCAACUUGUAUGGUGGUGGAGGCAGCGACUAAUACUUGGAUGGAGGGGGUGGUGGCGAUUCAUACUUGUAUGGUGGUGGUGGUGGUGACUCAUACUUGUAUGGCGGUGGUGGUGGACUCUCAUACUUGUAUGGUGGCGGUGGUGGUGACUCAUACUUGUAUGGAGGGGGUGGCGGCGACUCAUACUUGUAUGGUGGCGGCGGUGGCGACUCAUACUUGUAUGGCGGCGGCGGCGGACUCUCAUACUUGUAUGGAGGGGGUGGUGGCGAUUCAUACUUGUAUGGUGGCGGCGGUGGCGACUCAUACUUGUAUGGCGGCGGCGGUGGACUCUCAUACUUGUAUGGUGGCGGUGGUGGCGACUCAUACUUGUAUGGAG
rnacentral:lncRNA from 1 species